UGGGGAAUUUUGGACAAUGGGCGAAAGCCUGAUCCAGCAAUGCCGCGUGUGUGAAGAAGGCCUUCGGGUUGUAAAGCACUUUUGUCCGGAAAGAAAUCCUUGGCUCUAAUACAGUCGGGGGAUGACGGUACCGGAAGAAUAAGCACCGGCUAACUACGUGCCAGCAGCCGCGGUAAUACGUAGGGUGCAAGCGUUAAUCGGAAUUACUGGGCGUAAAGCGUGCGCAGGCGGUUUGCUAAGACCGAUGUGAAAUCCCCGGGCUCAACCUGGGAACUGCAUUGGUGACUGGCAGGCUAGAGUAUGGCAGAGGGGGGUAGAAUUCCACGUGUAGCAGUGAAAUGCGUAGAGAUGUGGAGGAAUACCGAUGGCGAAGGCAGCCCCCUGGGCCAAUACUGACGCUCAUGCACGAAAAGCGUGGGGAGCAAACAGGAUUAGAUACCCUGGUAGUCCACGCCCUAAAACGAUGUCAACUAGUUGUUGGGGAUUCAUUUCCUUAGUAACGUAGCUAACGCGUGAAGUUGACCGCCUGGGGAGUACGGUCGCAAGAUUAAAACUCAAAUGAAUUGACGGGGUCAUAGCUGUUUCCU
rnacentral:rRNA from 1 species